rnacentral:rRNA from 1 species
UACGUAGGGUGCGAGCGUUGUCCGGAAUUAUUGGGCGUAAAGAGCUCGUAGGCGGUCUGUCGCGUCGAUCGUGAAAACUUGGGGCUUAACCCUGAGCUUGCGGUCGAUACGGGCAUGACUGGAGUUCGGCAGGGGAGACUGGAAUUCCUGGUGUAGCGGUGAAAUGCGUAGAUAUUGGGAGGAACACCAGUGGCGAAGGCGGCUACCUGGACCGGUUCUGACGCUGAGGCGCGAAAGCGUGGGUAGCAAACAGG